AUCUUUUUGUAGUUCAUAAGCAUGAUGAUUGGGUUGUCACCUGACUGCGUGAGAUGUGCCACCCACAAACCUUGUUAAGACGUUGGCACAUAACCUGUCUGACA
ensembl:snoRNA